rnacentral:rRNA from 1 species
UACGGGGGGGGCAAGCGUUGUUCGGAAUUACUGGGCGUAAAGGGUUCGUAGGUGGCCAACUAAGUCAGACGUGAAAUCCCUCGGCUUAACCGGGGAACUGCAUCUGAUACUGGAUGGCUUGAGAUUGGGAGAGGGAUGCGGAAUUCCAGGUGUAGCGGUGAAAUGCGUAGAUAUCUGGAGGAACACCGGUGGCGAAGGCGGCAUCCUGGACCAACACUGACGCUGAGGAGCGAAAGCCAGGGGAGCAAACGGG